rnacentral:rRNA from 1 species
AUUGAACGCUGGCGGCAGGCCUAACACAUGCAAGUCGAGCGAGCGGCGCACGGGUGAGUUAUGUAUGGGGACUGCCCGAUAGAGGGGGAUAAUUUCUGGAAACUGUGGCUAAUACCGUAUACUCUCGUAUAACCCAUAUGGGAUUAGCUUGUUGGUGGGGUAAAGGCUCACCUAGGCGACGAUCUCUAGCUGGUCUGAGAGGAUGAUCCGCCACACGGGGACGGAGACAAGGCCCAGACUCCUACGGAGGCAGCAGUGGGGAAUAUUGCACAAUGGGCGCAAGCCUGAUGCAGCCAUGCCGCGUGUAUGAAGAAGGCCUUAGGGUUGUAAAGUACUUUCAGCGGGGAGGCGUUACCCGCAGAAGAAGCACCGGCUAACUCCGUGCCAGCAGCCGCGGUAAUAC